CUUACAAAGACAGGCAAGCAAGGAAGACCAUGACCUCUGGAGGAAACAAGAUGCAGAACUUGAUGAUGACAGAAUGUGGAGGAAAGGUAAAAGACUGUGUUUGCCACAAGUGUUGUACCCCAUGAUGGCCCAGAUUGCCCAUGGACCUACACAUCUAUCCAAGAUGCACAUGAACAGCAUAGUAAACACCCAUUGGGUAGCACCCGGAUUUACUGUUGUAGCAGCUAAACACACCCAAGCUUGCAUGAUUUGUGCUAGAAACAAUCCAGGACAGGCUGUCAAAAAACCAAGUAAGC